rnacentral:rRNA from 1 species
UACGUAGGGUCCGAGCGUUGUCCGGAAUUAUUGGGCGUAAAGAGCUCGUAGGCGGCCUAUUGCGUCCGCUGUGAAAUCCCAGGGCUUAACCCUGGGCCUGCAGUGGAUACGGGUAGGCUGGAGGCAGGCAGGGGAGAACGGAAUUCCCGGUGUAGCGGUGAAAAUGCGCAGAUAUCAGGAGGAACACCGGUGGCGAAGGCGGGGUCUCUGGGGCAGUAACUGACGUGGAGGAGCGAAA